rnacentral:rRNA from 1 species
GACGAACGCUGGCGGCGUGCUUAACACAUGCGAGUCGAACGGAAAGGCCCUUCGGGGUACUCGAGUGGCGAACGGGUGAGUAACACGUGGUUGAUCUGCCCUGCACUUUGGGAUAAGCCUGGGAAACUUGGUCUAAUACCGAAUAGGACCACGCGCUUCAUGGUUUGUGGUGGAAAGCUUUUGCGGUGUGGGAUGGGCCCGCGGCCUAUCAGCUUGUUGGUGGGGUAAUGGCCUACCAAGGCGACGACGGGUAGCCGGCCUGAGAGGGUGACAGGCCACAAUGGGACGUAGAUAAGCCCCAGACUGCUACGGGAGGAAGUAGUGGGGAAUAUUGUAAAAUGGGCGAAAGGAUGAUGCAGCGACGAAGCGUGAGGGAUGACGGCCUUCGGAUUGUAAACCUCUUUAAAGAGGGAAGAAGCGCAAGUAACGGUACCUAUAGAAGAAGCAAAGGCCAACUACGUG